GACGAACGCUGGCGGCGUGCUUAACACAUGCAAGUCGAACGAUGAAGCCGCUUCGGUGGUGGAUUAGUGGCGAACGGGUGAGUAACACGUGGGCAAUCUGCCCUGCACUCUGGGACAAGCCCUGGAAACGGGGUCUAAUACCGGAUACGACCAUCGGCCGCAUGGCCCGGCGGUGGAAAGCUCUGGUGGUGCAGGAUGAGCCCGCGGCCUAUCAGCUUGUUGGUGGGGGGAUGGCCUCCCAAGGCGACGACGGGUAGCCGGCCUGGGAGGGCGACCGGCCACACUGGGACUGAGACACGGCCCAGACUCCUACGGGAGGCAGCAGUGGGGAAUAUUGCACAAUGGGCGCAAGCCUGAUGCAGCGACGCCGCGUGAGGGAUGACGGCCUUCGGGUUGUAAACCUCUUUCAGCAGGGAAGAAGCUUUCGGGUGACGGUACCUGCAGAAGAAGCACCGGCUAACUACGUGCCAGCAGCCGCCGUAA
rnacentral:rRNA from 1 species